AUAGAUGUCUGGCAUGCUUAUCCUGUGCUACAGCAAUACUUUCAUGCGAAUGCAAAAUACUCGGAUAUGGCUGCCCGUCUGGAAAAUAAACAUUUCUUAAAUGAUUUGGCAUUGAUGAUAGACGUUUUGGAAUAAAUUUCACUUCUUUCAACUGCACUGCAAGCACGCAAUACCGAUAUAAUAAAAGCUGAAAAAAUGGUGAGAAGAUCAAUAAAGGCAUUUGAACUGCUAACAAAGGGAAAGGGCGAAAGAAAGUUGAAGGACUAAUUACCUCAGAAACCUUCAGGAAUAUAAAGAUCAUAAAAAAUGAUCGAUUUGUUGGUCUUCAUCGAGAAAGACUUUUACAAAGUAUCAUCAAAAAUUGGGGUAAACGACUGAUGGACUGUGAGCAUUUAAAAACUGGGAACCAACUGCAAGACACCCAAAUAAACUACAGUUUCUACAGUUUUUGAUGCCAGAAUAAAGGGAUGUUGAGGAAAUAGUCCUUCCAUAGGCAGCAGCUGAAAAACAACUGCGCACAUUCAGAGACAUUUUCAACUUCAAAAUUGACAUCGAUGACCACAGAGAUUUUGUGGAGAAUAUCUUGAAAGAUCCGAAGAGGUAUGCAAUUCCUGAGAGUAUCAAAAAAGCAAAAGAUAUUGUCACAACAAUUGCAGCGAGUUCUGAGAAGUGGAAAGGGGUUUUUCUAAAGUGAACCUGAUAUUUCAGAGAGCAGAAGUCACCUAGCCGUUUCCAAUCUAACCAGCCUCAUGACCAUCAGCGUUACUGGACUAUCUCUUCCAAAAUGGGAUCCUAUUCUUGCAGUGAAAAAAUGGUUCAGAGAACACCAUCGCUCAGCCAAUGAUCCAAGCAUCAAGUGCAAGAAAAGUGGAAGUGAGGAGAGUGCCACUGAAAUAGCUAUGUGGAAACAUCUCAUAGCUAAAGACGACUAACAGUUUUAUGUCGUUAUUAUCCUUGGUGCAAGAAGCGUCGUUGAAGACAACACUUUUAUUGCUCUUCUGUCAUUAUUAUCAUUGGUGCAAGAAUCGAGGUUGAAGACAUCACUUUUAUGUCAUUAUUAUCAGUGGUGCAAGAAGCGACGUUGAAGACAUCACUUUUAUUGCUCUUAUGACAAAAAAAAAAGAAAAGAAGUGACUUCGACUUGAACACGCUCACUCGGUCACUUGACCACCAAGCCACGCCCGCCAAUUAAACUGAGCCCACAGAACCUGUAGGGAAAAUUUUUGUAUUUCAUCCCUGGUUCGAUUAUAGAUUUACCUAUAACUAUUUGCUGACAGGUGGUAACAUUGUGAAUGCUUUUUUUUUUUUUUUGGAAUAAUUGUAAUUUGGGGUAUUUUUCCUCUCUCUGAGGCAAUUGGAUUAAGGUUACAAGAACCUGAAGAAAAGAAGCAAGAAAAACUCUGAGAUAUGGAUUUCGAUUAAAAAGCUAUUUGGCUGCUGUUUUUUUUUUAGCAUUUUUGUUACCACUUUGGUUUUCAAGUUUUCUUUUUCUUUUGGUCUUUGUUGUGGGUUUUUUUUGGCGGGCCUAUAUUUGGCUAUAAAUUGGCUUGGAAAUACUAUGAGCUAUAUUCAGUGGAAUUCAAAUAUCCAGACGUUACAAGAUGAAGAAAACAACAUCAGCAUUGUCCUCAAGGUCAAAAAAGGGCAAAGAAGUAACUCCGACUUGAACACACUCACUCGGUCACUUGACUACCAAGCCACGCCCGCCAAUUAAACCGAGCCCACAGAACUGGUAAGGAAAAUUUUCGUAUUUCACCCCUGGUUGGAUUAUAGAUUUACAGUGGCAGACAAAAAUAGAGAAAAAUCAAGUAUCUCCUUAGAAAUGGAUAGGGCAGAUGAUUAUUUCAGAAUACGCAAGAAGAAAAAGGAGGAAACCUAGCGGAGAUAAUGGCAGAUCUGUUGUUGGAAGCAAUGGAGGAAUCUAAGGAAAACAUUCUGUAUAAUAGUACUGAAAUAUUUAGAAUGCAUACUAGAUACACAAUGAGAAACAAAUUACCUAGAGAGGUGCAUGUUAGCUUCACUAAGAAAGUAAUAAAAACAGAGAUCAUGCAGAGAGCAAGCGAUAACCUGAGGAAGUAUAAAGAUAGAGAAAUAGUAGUGUUCAAACAAAUUCUGAGAAGUGUUAGAGAUUUAAGUAAAGAAAACCAUUUUUUGACAAAGUAUUUAAUUAAAAGAGGAGUGAAUUUUAGAUGGUUGAUACUGGAUGAAGUAUUGGUGAUCUGGGAGGAGCGAUGGUGACAGUGGUUUGGAGAACCGAUAGCAAAAAUCCCUGCCAUCCCCGCCCAUGCCGAUUCAAUCGCCCGGUCACCCAAUUGCCACCUUGGCCGCUUGAUGCUUCUUUCCUGCUCGCUCGUUUUUCUUGCCUUGCUUCGCCGGCCGCAAUCUCUACAAUCAAUUUCAUCAGCUAGCAACUGAAUCUGCCUGCCUGCAAUCAAUCUCUGUGGUAAGCAACGUAAACAGCCUGCCUGCCUGCCUUGUGCCUUCGGUUGUGUAAGUAACUGGGAUUUUUUUUGGCGGGGGAGCUUUAAAAAGAUAGUUAAUUGGGAUUUUGUAGGAGCUUUCUUCCCCCCCCCCCAGAAAUAGCCAUUAAAAGUUUAAGAAGUUUUAAAUUUAGCUGCUCUUCUAUAAAAACAUAAAUAAAAUAAAAUAAUAAAAUAAAACAUUUGUGCAACUUUCUAAGAUUUGGUGUGUUUCUGUAGUGCUUCACUCUAGCUGCACAAACACACAAAAUAUUGCAAGGUUUUAGGCGGCCUUUUGUGUGGAAAAAGUGUGAAAGUUGGUUUUUGAGCUUUUUGUGGCUGUGUGAGGUUCCUGCUUGUUGCAAGGGCCCUUUUGGCUCAAGUCAGCUGUUUUACAUUGCGUGUGAGUCAAUUGUGUUGUGUUCUGUUGUGUGUGUAAACUGCGAAAGUUGGUUUUUGUUUUAUUAUUUAAGACUUGAAAGGAGAAUUAACAGAAACAGGCCAAGAUGAAACUUUUUCCUUCCUCUUCUUUUUGGAGGCACUUUGAAAUAUGGCUGUUACGUUUUUCUUUUUAAGCGGCUGUUAGCACUUCUAUAUUUUUUACCUAUAACUUUUUGCUGACAGGUGGUAACAUUGUGAAUGCUUUUUUUUUUUUUUUUUUUGGAAUAAUUGUAAUUUGGGGUAUUUUUCCUCUCUCUGAGGCAAUUGGAUUAAGGUUACAAGAACCUGAAGAAAAGAAGCAAGAAAAACUCUGAGAUAUGGAUUUGGAUUAAAAAGCUAUUUGGCUGCUGUUUUUUUUUUUUAGCAUUUUUGUUACCACUUUGGUUUUCAAGUUUUCUUUUUCUUUUUGUCUUUGUUGUGGGUUUUUUUUGGCGGGCCUAUAUAUGGCUAUAAAUUGGCUUGAAAAUACUAUGAGCUAUAUUCGGUGGGAUUCAAAUAUCAAGCCGUUACAAGAUGAAGAAAACAACAUCAGCAUUGUCCUCAAGGUCAUCCUCUGCAACUUCUUUUGGGGGGAGCUUUAAAAUAAAUAUUUAAUUGGGUUUUUUGUACGAGUUUUCUUUUUUUUUAGACAUAGCCAUUUAAAUUUUAGAAAGUUUUAAAUUUAGCUGCUGUUAUCUAAAAAUAUAAAUAAAUUAAUAAAAUAACAUAUUUGUGCAACUUUCUAAGACUUGGUGUGUUUCUGUAGUAUAUCACUCUAGCUACACAAACACACAAAAUCUUGCAAAGCUGUAGGUGGCAUUUUGUGCGUAAAAAGUGCGAAAGUUUGUUUUUGACCGUUUUGUGGCUAUGUGAGGUUCCUGCUUUUUGCAGGAGCCAUUUUGGGUCAAGUGCAGCUGUUUUACAUUGCAUGUGAGUCAGUUGUGUUGUUCUCUGUUGUGUGUUUGUAAAGUGUGAAAGUUGGGUUUUGACUUAUUAUUUAAGUAUUGAUUGCAUGAAAUAAUUUUUAUAUCGUCUCCUUGUAGGUCAAAAAAGGGCAAAGAAGUGACUUCGACUUGAACAUGCUCACUCGGUCACUUGACCACCAAGCCACGCCCGCCAAUCAAACCGAGCCCACAGAACUGAUCAAAAAAGGGCAAAGAAGUGACUUCGACUUGAACACGCUCACUCGGUCACUUGACCACCAAGCCACGCCCGCCAAUUAAACCGAGCCCACAGAACUGGUAAGGAAAAUUUUUGUAUUUCACCCCUGGUUGGAUUAUAGAUUUACAGUGGCAGACAAAAAUAGAGAAAAAUCAAGUAUCUCCUUAGAAAUGGAUAGGGCAGAUGAUUAUUUCAGAAUACGCAAGAAGAAAAAGGAGGAAACCUAGCGGAGAUAAUUGCAGAUAUGUUGUUGGA